UACGUAGGGCGCAAGCGUUGUCCGGAAUUAUUGGGCGUAAAGCGCACGUAGGCGGUCCAGCAAGUCGGGUGUGAAAGCCCUCGGCUUAACCGAGGAAGUGCAUUCGAAACUACUGGACUUGAGUACUGAAGAGGAUCGCGGAAUUCCCGGUGUAGAGGUGAAAUUCGUAGAUAUCGGGAGGAACACCAGUGGCGAAGGCGGCGAUCUGGGCAGAUACUGACGCUGAGGUGCGAAAGCGUGGGGAGCAAACAGG
rnacentral:rRNA from 1 species